rnacentral:rRNA from 1 species
UCCUUAGAUGUUCUGGGCCGCACGCGUGCUACACUGAGUGGAUCAGCGGGUCAGGUUGCGCGAAAGCGUUUCCUAAUCUUUAAAUCCGCUCGUGAUGGGGAUUGACGGUUGCAAUUUUCUGUCAUGAACGAGGAAUACCUUGUAAGCGCGGGUCAUCAUCCCGCGCUGAAUACGUCCCUGCCCUUUGUACACACCGCCCGUCGCUCCUACCGAUUGAGUGGUCCGGUGAGGCUUUGGGAUCUGAGCGGAAAGAGCGUUUCGCUGUUUCUGCUCGGAAAACUCAGUCGAACCUUAUCAUUUAGAGGAAGGAGAAGUCGUAACA